rnacentral:tRNA from 1 species
GUCCCCAUCGUCUAGCCUGGCCUAGGACAUGAGCCUUUCGAGCUUAUGGCGCCGGUUCAAAUCCGGCUGGGGACG